AGCCUGCGGGCGACACUGCGCAUGCGCCGGGCCACCGGCCGCGCCCCCGCGGCGCCUCUCCCCAAGUUCCCGAGCGCGCCGGCUCUGGGUGCCCACAACCGAGGUGGGAGAAGAAACUCCCCUGGGGGCUCCAUCGGCUUCUCCAGGAGUGACAACGACGCUGACCCGAACCCUGCUGCUUUGCGAUCCGCUUAGGAACACAGUGAGCAUCCUCAUCGUUUUGGAGCCCCCGGCCGGGAAGCGCCAGGCCACCCCUUGGAGUCCGGAUUUUCAGAGGUGAAUUUUCUUCAGCGGAUUCCAGCCUGCGCCGUCUGAGAAGCCCGAGCAGGGCACCGUCGUCCCUUCCCGUGUCGCUGGGCACUUCGCCCCACGGCCGGCUCAUCGCCAGCAAGCGCACACUCAGGAGGUCAGGCUCAGGAUGGACCGUGAGCUUUCAAAAAGAAAAAAUCUGGAAAUCACCGACUGUGCUGCCAAUUGAAUAAGCGUUUCUUUGUAGCAAACACAGAGUCAAGGAGAAUUACAUUCCUGCAUUAUAUAAUCUACAACAACCUGUUUACCUACUGUUUUCAUCUAGGUUAUUCUUGAAAGCAGAGCCUGAGACAAAGGUAGACGCAUUCUGCUUGGGAAUCUGAUACCAGGGAGCAGGAAUGAGAGAGAGGGGAGUGAAUAUGGGGAAAAGGAAAAGAAAAUACAAGCAAGACCAGGUAGAGUCCCUAUUAAUGGUUACUUAAUGCAGAACCUUUUCAAAGAUUCUUAAACUUUGUUCUUAGAUCUGUCUGCCUGAAUGAGGAAAGGGAGACGCAUUUAUCUCUCAGCAGCCAUCUCCUCUGUGUUGGGAGCUGCUCCUAUGGGGCAUUAAUCCCCCAUCCCUCUGCAUUGCAAAGAUGUGAGAGCCUCACAGGUACCACAGCAUUACACAUUGCUGCAUCAGAUGCCUCGGGACAGGAAACUAGACUCUUGGUGCGUGCUUGAAGUGAGGCAGUGACAGCACAGAGCAGGCUAAAGCCUUUCCAGAACUGUUCACCAGAGCUGUGGCUGGAACAGGUUGAAAGAUGGGAGACGGUACACAAGAGGCAUCUUAUAAGCCUACAUGAUAUGCUUAGACUUGUCUACAUCUAUUUCCUUCCUUCUUUCUGUCAUCAAAAUUUCAGUGUCCAGAAUAAGUUUGGAAGAAGGGUUAAAUAGGAAGGUUAAAUGUAUUAGAAGGUGUGUGUUUGUAACAAUUUUAACCUUGAGUUAUGUUCAAAGAAAAAAUGACACUGGAACUUAGAAAAUUAAAAAGUGAUUCUACUUGAAAAUUUGAUCAUUAGGUGGAUGUGCUAGAUGUCUUCACAUCUCAUACAGUCUCAAACAACCAUGAAUUGCUUGGAGAAAAUGAAGAAAUAAAAUUAACCAUUUCUUGUG